rnacentral:rRNA from 1 species
GCACGAAAGCGUGGGGAGCAAACAGGAUUAGAUACCCUGGUAGUCCACGCGUAAACUAUGAUCACUGCUGUUGGCGAUAAAAUUGUCAGCGGCUGAGCGAAAGCAUUAAGUGAUCCACCUGGGGAGUACGAUCGCAAGGUUGAAACUCAAAGGAAUUGACGGGGGCCCGCACAAGCGGAGGAACAUGUGGUUUAAUUCGAUGAUACGCGAGGAACCUUACCUGGGCUUAAAUGUAGAGCGACAGACUGGGAAACUGGUCCUUCUUCGGACGAUCUACAAGGUGCUGCAUGGUUGUCGUCAGCUCGUGCCGUGAGGUGUCGGGUUAAGUCCCAUAACGAGCGCAACCCUUAUCGUUAGUUGCCAGCGGGUAAUGCCGGGGACUCUAACGAAACUGCCGGUGUAAACCGUGAGGAAGGUGGGGAUGACGUCAAAUCAGCACGGCCCUUAUGUCCAGGGCGACACACGUGUUACAAUGGCCGGUACAGAGGGCAGCUACCUGGUGACAGGAUGCUAAUCUCCAAAACCGGUCUCAGUUCGGAUCGAAGUCUGCAACUCGACUUCGUGAAGCUGGAUUCGCUAGUAAUCGCGCAUCAGCCAUGGCGCGGUGAAUACGUUCCCGGGCCUUGUACACACCGCCCGUCAAGCCAUGGAAGCUGGGGGUACCUGAAGUCCGUAACCGCAAGGAGCGGCCUAGGGUAAACUAAGUCGUAACAAGGUAACCGUAAAU